UACGUAGGGGGCAAGCGUUGUCCGGAAUUAUUGGGCGUAAAGCGCGCGCAGGCGGUUCUUUUAAGUCUGGUGUCUAAGUGCGGGGCUCAACCCCGUGAUGCACUGGAAACUGGGGAACUUGAGUGUAGGAGAGGAAAGUGGAAUUCCACGUGUAGCGGUGAAAUGCGCAGAUAUCAGGAGGAACACCGGUGGCGAAGGCGGGUCUCUGGGCAGUGAACUGACGCUGGAGGAGCGAAAGCGUGGGGAGCGAACAGG
rnacentral:rRNA from 1 species